rnacentral:rRNA from 1 species
UACGAAGGGGGCUAGCGUUGUUCGGAUUUACUGGGCGUAAAGCGCACGUAGGCGGAUCGUUAAGUCGGGGGUGAAAUCCUGGAGCUCAACUCCAGAACUGCCUUCGAUACUGGCGAUCUUGAGUCCGGAAGAGGUGAGUGGAACUCCUAGUGUAGAGGUGGAAUUCGUAGAUAUUAGGAAGAACACCAGUGGCGAAGGCGGCUCACUGGUCCGGUACUGACGCUGAGGUGCGAAAGCGUGGGGAGCAACAGGG